GGGGACGUAGCUCAAUUGGUGAGAGCUCCGCAGCGAUCCUGCGGAAGAUGGAGGUUCAAACCCUCCCGACCCCA
rnacentral:tRNA from 1 species